UACGUAGGGGGCAAGCGUUGUCCGGAUUUAUUGGGCGUAAAGAGCGUGUAGGCGGUUUGAUAGGGUCCGUUGUGAAAAACUCGAGGCUCAACCUCGAGACGCCGGCGGAAACCAUCAGGCUAGAGUCCGGAAGAGGAGAGUGGAAUUCCUGGUGUAGCGGUGAAAUGCGCAGAUAUCAGGAAGAACACCCCGUGGCUAAGGCGGCUCUCUAGUACGGUACUGACGCUGAGACGCGAAAGCGUGGGGAGCGAACAGG
rnacentral:rRNA from 1 species